UACGUAGGUGGCGAGCGUUGUCCGGAUUUACUGGGCGUAAAGGGCGUGCAGGCGGUUUGUUAAGUGCAGGGUGAAAGCUCCCGGCUCAACUGGGAGAGGUCCUUGCAUACUGGCGAACUCGAGGGAGGCAGGAGGAAAGUGGAAUUCCCGGUGUAGUGGUGAUAUGCGUAGAUAUCGGGAGGAACACCUGUGGCGAAGGCGGCUUUCUGGGCCUUACCUGACGCUGAGGCGCGAGAGCGUGGGGAGCAAACUGG
rnacentral:rRNA from 1 species